rnacentral:rRNA from 1 species
AUUGAACGCUGGCGGCAUGCUUUACACAUGCAAGUCGAACGGUAACAGGCCGCAAGGUGCUGACGAGUGGCGAACGGGUGAGUAAUGCAUCGGAACGUGCCCAGUCGUGGGGGAUAACGCAGCGAAAGCUGCGCUAAUACCGCAUACGAUCUAUGGAUGAAAGCGGGGGACCGUAAGGCCUCGCGCGAUUGGAGCGGCCGAUGUCAGAUUAGGUAGUUGGUGGGGUAAAGGCUCACCAAGCCAACGAUCUGUAGCUGGUCUGAGAGGACGACCAGCAACACUGGGACUGAGCCACGGCCCAGACUCCUACGGGAGGCAGCAGUGGGGAAUUUUGGACAAUGGGCGCAAGCCUGAUCCAGCAAUGCCGCGUGCAGGAAGAAGGCCUUCGGGUUGUAAACUGCUUUUGUACGGAACGAAACGGUCCUGGCUAAUACCCGGGGCUAAUGACGGUACCGUAAGAAUAAGCACCGGCUAACUACGUGCCAGCCGCCGCAGUAAAAC